rnacentral:rRNA from 1 species
UAGUCCUACGGGGCGCAGCAGUGGGGGAUAUUGCACAAUGGGGGGAACCCUGAUGCAGCGACGCCGCGUGGGUGAAGGAGUAUUUCGGUAUGUAAAGCCCUAUCGGCAGGGAAGAAGCAAGACGGUACCUGACUAAGAAGCCCCGGCUAACUACGUGCCAGCAGCCGCGGUAAUACGUAGGGGGCGAGCGUUAUCCGGAUUCACUGGGUGUAAAGGGAGCGUAGACGGCCAUGCAAGCCAGGGGGGAAAGCCCGGGGCCCAACCCCGGGACUGCCCUUGGAACUGCAUGGCUGGAGUGCGGGAGG